rnacentral:lncRNA from 1 species
AGAGAAGCACCUUUAUUUUCAAAAAUUGUUAAGAAACUUUUAUAAGGUAGGUUAUUUUUCGAUGAAAUGAUAGCAACGUAAGGUGGUGUUCGUGUUAUUUCAGAACUUAUUUUUACAAGAUAAUUCUUUCCAGUAACAUUAAUUUUGGGCCUUUUCCAUGCUACUUUCCAUUUGGUGGGCCCUACUGGGCUGGUUGAAUAUUAAUGGAACACUUUUGGGCCCUUUAGAAGCUUUAUUCAGGUUUUGUUUGAAUUCUUAGAGCAUCUCCAAGGGAGAUGUCAAAUACCAAAUAUGAAAUUUAAAUUUGAUAGAUGAUGUGACAAUUUGACAUUUACACAGUUUUACACUCCAC